ensembl:lncRNA
UGGUUAAUCAUGACACGAAACAGAGAACAGUUCAUCUUUAAAUUCUGAACUGAAUGUCAAUGCAUCUUUUGAACAGAUCAAGUUCAAUUGGAAAUGACAGCAUCGUUCCCGACUCCGUCUUCCUCUCUCUCUUCUUUAUUGCUGCACCUGUGCUCUUUAGACAAGAGUGCUUUCAGAGCUCUACAAGUGUGUUUCCAUCCAUACUGACUGACUGUUUGUGAGGGAAAAGUAUCAUUUUGCAAAUGUCUUCGCAUUCACAUAUAACUCCUGCUCUGUAAAAGUGCCAUAAACUGGGAUAGAGCGAAGAUAUCCGACCCCCAGUGCUUUCCCGCUUCACGGAAGAUCUCGCACAGAUAAAGUUGCUGGAAGUCAUUAGAGCAUAUGGGUUUACAGAGCUGGAGAAACGUUCCUGCCCUCAACACGUCCAAGAGCAACAACCGGGCAGCGGGCGUUUCCCUGUCCCGCGUGGGUAAAUGCAGGCCCCAGCCCAGGGUUUAAAACGUUUUUAUUUCCAGUGUCCUCAAUAGCAUCCUUCCAGCUACCAACAACACCACGUUAUCACUGUCUGAUUUAUCCAUCAUGGUUGAUACCAAGAACGUACUGUGCAAACAGAUGUUCGAAGUUCGAAGUUCCGAUCUGAAUCAAAAGAUCCAUAAACCCACUCCGUAGAUCCGAUCUAUCCACCCUCUGUCCCGAUCUGAAUAAUGAUUCGCGAACCAUCAUUUCAAAUCGGUCCUCGAAAGUUUGGAGGUUUCGAUCUGAAUCAAAAGAUUUGCAAUACGCAAAGUUCUGAUCCAAAUCAAAUGAUUCGCGAUCCGAUUCGAAUCUGAAUCGAAAGAUUCGCGAUAUGCGAAAUUCCAAACCAAACGAGUCAUCUCAUACCAUUGAAGAUAAUGUUAAAAGUAUCAAAAUGACAACAUAAAAAAAAGAUUAAUCCUUUUGUUGGUUUACUUAUUUUAACAUAUAAAACAACCAACAGUGAACAAAUGAAAUUAUUAAUUAUUG